UCCCUGGUGACCCAGUGACUUAAGGGUAUGGCAUUGUCACUGCUGUGGAGUGGGUUCAAUCCCUGUCCCAGGAA
rnacentral:tRNA from 1 species